GACGAACGCUGGCGGCGUGCCUAAUACAUGCAAGUCGAACGAGAGCGACCGGUGCUUGCACUGGUCAAUCUAGUGGCGAACGGGUGAGUAACACGUGGGUAACCUGCCCAUCAGAGGGGGAUAACAUUCGGAAACGGAUGCUAAAACCGCAUAGGUUCUUGAGCUGCAUGGCUCGAGAAGGAAAAGAGGCUUCGGCUUCUGCUGAUGGAUGGACCCGCGGUGCAUUAGCUAGUUGGUGAGGUAACGGCUCACCAAGGCCGUGAUGCAUAGCCGACCUGAGAGGGUGAUCGGCCACAUUGGGACUGAGACACGGCCCAAACUCCUACGGGAGGCAGCAGUAGGGAAUCUUCCGCAAUGGACGCAAGUCUGACGGAGCAACGCCGCGUGAGUGAAGAAGGAUUUCGGUUCGUAAAACUCUGUUGUUAGAGAAGAACAGCGCAUAGAGUAACUGUUAUGCG
rnacentral:rRNA from 1 species